AUUUCGUGCCGAAUUUAUGGUUUUAAAUCUGUUGUCAACAGGUUUAAAUUAAAAGGGAAUACGGUGAAAAACCGUGGCUGUUCCCGCAACUGUAAGCUUUAUGCCAAAUUUGUUUUUGGUGUCUUUUAAAAAGGUAAGAUUAUUUUUUAAAAGUAUAGUAUUGACUACUAGAAACCACUGUUUCAAAUUGAAAUGGGAAGGUGAGAUACUAUAAAAGCAAGCCAGGAGACCUGCCAAAAUUCAAAUUUUAGU
rnacentral:ncRNA from 2 species